rnacentral:rRNA from 1 species
UGCCAGACUCCUACGGGAGGCAGCAGUGGGGAAUAUUGCACAAUGGGGGAAACCCUGAUGCAGCGGCGCCGCGUGAGUGAAGAAGUAUUUCGGUAUGUAAAGCUCCCUCAGCAGGGAAGAAGAAGGACGGUACCUGAGUAAGAAGCCCCGGCUAACUACGUGCCAGCAGCCGCGGUAAUACGUAGGGGGCAAGCGUUAUCCGGAUUUACUGGGUGUAAAGGGGGCGCAGACGGCAGCGCAAGCCAGGAGUGAAAGCCCGGGGCCCAACCCCGGGACUGCUCUUGGAACUGCGCGGCUGGAGUGCAGGAGGGGCAGGCGGAAUUCCUGGUGUAGCGGUGAGAUGCGUAGAUAUCAGGAGGAACACCGGUGGCGAAGGCGGCCUGCUGGACUGCGACUGACGUUGAGGCCCGAAAGCGUGGGGAGCAAACAGGAUUAGAUACCCUUGUAA